rnacentral:rRNA from 1 species
GGGAUUGCCUUAGUAGCGGCGAGUGAAGCGGCAAAAGCUCAAAUUUGAAAUCUGGCACUUUCAGUGUCCGAGUUGUAAUUUGAAGAAGGUAUCUUUGGGUCUGGCUCUUGUCUAUGUUUCUUGGAACAGAACGUCACAGAGGGUGAGAAUCCCGUGCGAUGAGAUGUCCCAGACCUAUGUAAAGUUCCUUCGAAGAGUCGAGUUGUUUGGGAAUGCAGCUCUAAGUGGGUGGUAAAUUCCAUCUAAAGCUAAAUAUUGGCGAGAGACCGAUAGCGAACAAGUACAGUGAUGGAAAGAUGAAAAGAACUUUGAAAAGAGAGUGAAAAAGUACGUGAAAUUGUUGAAAGGGAAGGGCUUGAGAUCAGACUUGGUAUUUUGUAUGUUACUCUCUCGGGGGUGGCCUCUACAGUUUACCGGGCCAGCAUCAGUUUGAGCGGUAGGAUAAGUGCAAAGAAAUGUGGCACUGCUUCGGUAGUGUGUUAUAGUCUUUGUCGAUACUGCCAGCUUAGACUGAGGACUGCGGCUUCGGCCUAGGAUGUUG